rnacentral:miRNA from 1 species
GUGAGUUGCAUACAUGUCGACAUU